rnacentral:misc_RNA from 2 species
GUGGGAGGGGGCUUGCCCCCGAUAGCGAUGGGUCAGCCACCUGAUUUAUCAACUGACAGACUGCUAUCGGGGGCAAGCCCCCUCCCAC